UUCAUGUGGUUGGAUGCUGUUCAAAUUAUUUUAUUAUCCAACUGAAAAGGGUUAUAAUAAUAGUGUGAGAUGAUCAAGCUGCGGUGCACUGUGUUUUGUGUAUGUAGCUGUACAUGAUUUUAAAUUGAACUUGUCAUUUCCUAUUCAGAGCAGUAAUGCUGUUUAAAUGGUGCUUGGUUGAAAUGGCAGUGAAAUGGAAAAUAAUUUAACUUGGUGUGACAGUGGGCACAGUUCCUGCAUAUGAGCCACUGAAAGAUAAAUGUAAGUGAAAAUCUGAGGCUGAUAAUAGCAUUUCAUUUAUUUGAUUUAACAAUUUAAUUUAUUGUUUUCAAUGAAUCUGCUGUGGUCAGAUGUUUAUCACUUGUAAAAUUUCUGCUUCCUAGCAAGGCUGCACCUUGUCAUCACACAUAUUACAAAACAUGAACGUAAUUCUAUAAAAAUGCAUCAGAUGUGUUGAAAUGAAGGGCUUUUUGGGGACAGAUGAGCCAAUGUGGAGUUUCCCUCUUCAUCAUCCUUUGUGAACUUAAGGGAUCAUUGCAAUCUAAAUAUCCACAAGACUCCAGAUAGGCCUGUUCUGCUCUUACACUGGCUUUAAUUAUGACAGCUCACAGACACAGUGGACACAGCGGUGCCUCGCAGCAAAACUCCUGUCAGAGGCUACGGAUUAAGUUGUUAGAACCUAAUCUGUCUCCAUUGCAAGGGGCCACCUCACAGGCAUAAUGAAAAAAACUUUUACUUACUGACUUUAAAGAGGCAUUUUUAGUCAAAAAUCAGUUUGGAUAUCCACUGCGCUAUCCUUUUUUAAGGCAAAUUCAUUCAUUUUGGUAAAGAGAGCAUGGUUUACACAUUAAAAGUAUGUGAUAAACAGAAUAUAUACAGUUCACUGCAAAAACGUUUGACAAAGAGCAUGUGCUACUCUCCAACACCCCCACACUCCCUAUGGUGGUCAUUUAAGAUAUGCUUAUUGUAACAUUGAAUGUAAUGCUUUUCUUUCAGGCUGAUGAGAUGGGCGCACUGUUGCUUUGGAAACACAAUCAUGAAAAUUAUUCAGGGAACUAAUUUCAAACAUUUUGUUGAUGAUCUUGAUUCAUAGCAAAUCUAUUUCUGUUAGUCCUUUUCUGGGAAAGCUUAUUGAGAACUAAAGAAAUGCCAGAUAGUUGAAUAUCUUCCGUGAGAAGUCUUCCAAAUGUAGACUUUGUAAGUUUUCAUCUCUGCAUCACUUGACAAACUGCUGGCCAUGGUUCAAGCUCACAGUGACAUCCUGUUUGAUCUUCAAAUCUCAAACACAUUCUUAACAUAAUUAUGUUGGUUUAUGGUUAUUGGCUGAAACCGCAGUUGUUUCCCACAAUGUUUAUUUAAAGAAGAAAAACUGUUUUAGCUAAGAGCCAAGAUAAUGCGUCCUGGGUGCAUUUCAGUUCACCUGUGUGGUGUGAGCUGAUGACUGCUCAUCAGCCCUGUAAUGGUUACUAGAGAAGUUUUAUUGUAAUGCCAAAUAUUCCACACACGGAUCUCAAUUUGAUAAGAUUAAUAUUGCUUUGGCAUACUGCUUCUCCUUUUUUUUUUGAAAAUGCAGUCAUAGACCAAUGCAAUUGUGCCUUGGUAUGUCAGGUUUAGUUCAAAGAGAACCAAGUGAUUUAAGUUGGCAAGAUUCAGUUGCCAAAGGAAAAUGAAGGCUUAUGGCAUUCAUUAGGCGCUCUGUAUCAGUAUCAGUGUCUCUGUACAUCUCUGAACAUUUUGUUACUGUAAUUAAAAAAAAAUUUAACACUGCCAUUAGAACUAUUUGUGUAAAGGUUUGCAAACCACUCAAGCUUACGGUACACAUCACAUGAGCAGUUCCUUCAUGGGCUGAAUAUCGGGGUCAUGAUUGUGGUUAACUGAAGAAACAGGAUAUUUAAAUCCUUACCGAAUUAUCUAAUCUAAUCUGAUGAAUUUGACUAUGCUGUUUUUACCCAGCCUUGGGAGGCAGCUGCGACUUGCGAGAUCUCGUGAGAAUCCAUCUUGUCAGGCUUCAGACUCUGUGCUUGUGUCCAACAACAAUGUUACCGGAUCAUUCAGCGAACGAGGAACUACUGACAGCUAUGGCGUGAGCUGCGGUCGUGGUUUAAUGCUACGUUUGUGGGACAGUGUGUGGGAGAAGUGACCCUUUGCUUGAAAAAACAAUGGCGGCUGCUAAAGAGGUUAGUGUAGAUGUUGCUAGCAUCGAUUAUAUGAGAGCUGGAUAGUAUUUCCUAAUUGAAAGAAGAGCAAAGAAGGCUUUUCUUGAUGGAAAAGAUGUUUUUGCUCUUCUCCUGACUGGCUUAACUAAUGGUUUAUACAUAUAUAUAUAUAUAUGUAUAAUUGUAUAAAUACCUGUUAUAUAGUUUGUUGAUAUUAGUUGAAGUUUGCCAAUGCUAGAAGGUGAUAGACAGAUUGUUCAUCCAAUCAACUAUCACCGGUAUUUUUUGAAACUACCUACCCUUUUCCAGUUUCAAACGACAAGUUCCCUGAUGGUUCUGUGUAACAAACCAUCCAUAUAUAACCAAGUCAAUUUCUGAGCUUUAGAGUUGCUGGUAGCUCGAUCUGGUUACACUUAGACUGAACCAGGCUAACUAUUUCCAGUCUUUAUACUAAGCUAAUCAGCUGCUGGCUCAAGCUUCAUAUUUAACAGACAGAUGUUUAAGGGACAUCGAUCUUCUUACCCAACUUUUAAAAAGAAAACAAAUAAGCUUAUUUCUCAAAAUGAUCAAUGAUUUACAAGCAUUGACAUUCAAGUCUUCUGUAGGUCUAGUGGGAGAUGAGACUACAUUUUGAAACAGGCCCUCUUUGGCCAUGGCAUUCCACAGUGUGCACAGUUUAACACUCAUCCUUGGAGCAUCUAUCAUAUUGUGAAACAGCACCAGGGGAGUCACCAAAGACCCAGAGAGCAUAUGUCACAGCACAAGAGAAGUACCAGGGCCUCGGCUGACUCUGACCAUAUCUGUCUCACUGUCAAUGGAGACACAUUCUUCUCUCAGUGGUCCUCUGGGUUGUUUUACAUGGAGAUUGUCAUAUUUGAGUUCUUUUAUUUGUGUUUAAGGUCUAGUGUCUUACAGGCUGAAGGGUUAAAUAUGCUUGGCUCAUAACAAGAUGUGAAAGGUAAUGCAGGGUUUUUGUUCCAGAGGUUGCACUUCAAUUAUAAAUGCUUGUGAUUGCAACAUAAAUGCUUCACUAAAAACCAAAGGAGAGUUUGAUUAAACUGAUAAGGUGUGAGCUGUUUGUUCCAAUUUGGCAACAUCUUUAGUGCUAUUCGGUCACUGCUGUUGCAUUUGAACAGUAUACCUCCCAGUGAUCAGUUUGUAAUCAUUGCCAAUUCUAUGACUUAUCUUUGUUAGGUUUUCUGUUUUUGUUGCUGAUGGUGGCUAUCUUUUCUUUGUUGGUUUGGCCAUUGUGGUUAUCAGCGGUCAUGCUAACAAUCCUCUUUAUCCUCCUAUAGGGUUUUAUUUUUCCAAAACAGUUGCUGCUGUUGAAAACAUAAACCCAUCAGCUUGUGUCCAGAUCAUUUUCUCUCUGUGGCUUGUGUCACAAAGCAUGAUUACUGUACUGACGUGGCUGGACAAAUGCACUGAGCAUAACCCAGAAGAGGUUUUUAGUCCGUGUUGCAGAUUUGCCGAGCUUCCAAGUUUUCCUCAGGAGUUAACUUCAUAAUCCUACUUUGUGAGACAGACCCCCUGGGGGAAAGCAGCAAAUCUUUGAGCUUUCAUGAAUUACUGCAGGCUGAAUCACUUCAUCAGUUGGCAAUAGAGAGUGACAGAACAUUUAUUUAUGAAAAGGUGAAGGGUUUUGUACUAAAGAUUCAUAAUUGUAUUGUUUUUAUACUGCUCAAUCAAACACAUUAAAUGGUUGUAAAUGUUAAGAUGUUUUUUCACCUGCUGAGAUUAAGUAUCUUGUGACUCUGAAAGUCCAAGAUGAGAUCCAGAUCCAAUCUGUUAACCAUCAUAGGAUGUAGACACAUUAAUAUUCUUUGUUUAUAACUUUUCUCAGGUGACAAGAGGGUACAUGAAACAGUGAUUACAUUGGCUUGAUUUAUUGUGUAUACGAUGUCGGCCUUACCUACUCCGUAAAGGAAAUGCUUCUCUGGAAAAGAAGCAGAACACAGGCAGAGUGAGUCUUUCUACUCUACAGCUGCAACAGUUACACAUAAUUGAUGUGUGGCGUGUAUAAUUGUUGCUUUGUUAUUUCUCCAAAUAAUUCUAGUCGUACUGAGCAUUUUGUUGCAUACUCUGCCCCCCCUCUGCUCUGGAAUUCAAGGGAAACUCUGGUUUACGCAGUAAGGAAACUGAGGAUAACAUUUCUUCAGCCCCCCUGUGAGACAUGAUAGCCACGAUACUUCUCAUGCACUUGGCUGAUCCAAACAGCAUUGUUUAUGUCCCGUAAAUGUCGCCUUCAAUUCAUUCCAAUGAAGUAGGUUGGAAGUAGGUCUCUCUUACGUCUCUUGUCUUUUUUGCGCAUUGUAUUCUAGUGAAUCAAGUGUCCCCGAAAUUUGUCAAAAUUAAUUCGAUAGACUUUCCAUGCAAAAUGAGUUAUUGAGUUAUAUUGUGAUGUAAAGUCCAACAGUGGGGGUACGGCUCAGUUCCAGAAAAAUGAUCACUUCAGACUGAUUAUUCAACUUGGCUACAAGGCUUUAAGUCUCUCUUGUUUCCUUGGUUUUCAAAUCUGGUUUUCACAUCAAAUUUAAAUGUAUUCUGCACCUUGGAAUAAUCCUCUCAGUUGGACUUCUGUUCCCUCUCCCAAUUCAAAUAGCUUUCAACACAAGAAAUACUCUUGGGGAUUCUUUGUUGCCAUAUUGUCAUCCCUCCAGUGAUCGUGGAUCCAUGAAGGAUAUAUUGUGGCACAGCUUAAGGCGUUCAGCAGGCACAAAUGUUAUGUUUUGUUCUUUUGGGCCGUUACAUUUCUGAUACAAAUAUAUAAAUGUUCUGCACUGGAAAGUAGAAUCAGUCUAGAUUUAUUGACAACACAUGAACAGCAUCUUCAGGAGAACUUCUUGGUGGAAAAACAUGUAACUCAAGGGAAACCCCCAAUGUCAUAAUGUUACUAAAUGAAUGUCAACACACACACACACACACACACACACACACACACACACACACACACACAAAACACAUGGGGACAAAUCCACUCUUGUAAUGUAGUUAUUUAAUAGGUUGGAGUCUAUUAAAUAGAUCAAAUAACUUUUCCAUUUGAAACAUUUUGAAUGUGUGCUGAUAGUGAGGCUUUUAGUGAAAUUACACAUAUGCUGAUACAGUGUAAUUAGUCCUUAAGUGAUUAUUGGAUGAAAGAAUGAAAGCUUUCUGAUGGAAAACUGAUGACUGCACAUGAGGGAGUUGGAAAAUAUUAGACAAUUUAAUAUGAUUACUCUCAGACAUUCUAUAUAGAUGUGUUUUUUUUUAUUACUUACAAACCCAAUUAUCAUCCACCUCAUGAAUGCUACUGGAUAUGUGUCAGAGAACCAGUUAGUAGACUUUAUAACUAUACUUGUCAAGUCUUGCCUACUUACCUAAAAAAGGGCAGCAGUGCAGUACAUGUCAAAAGAUUUUUGGAAGAUAAAGCCAUUAAAACAGUUGUUGUUCAUUUGUAAACAAGGUUUUAGUGGUUUUCAUUUUCCAAAAACACAGAGACUAAGUGCCAAAGCAGGCAUAGUUUUUUGAUUUAUUAAAACCACAUCUGGAAUUAUUUACAAAACAUUUUUUAGUUUGAUCGAAACUGCAAGUUAUUUUUUUAUGAAUGGCAUGAUUAUAAACCAUUGAAUUUCUGGAAUAAAAUAAAUAAAUAAAAGCAGUAUGAUAAAGCAGCUAAGUUGACUGAGGAAGGAGCAUGGAAUAAUUCCAAGCAGUUUCCCAAUAGCCUUUUGAGUGAAACAGAGUUUACCGGAAUUAACCUCAGUAGAUGCAGAAUCAGAUAACACUUCUAAGAAUCAUGCCAAUCAAAAAUGCCUGAAGUGAUUUACAGUACUUGGCACUGAUUUCCAGGUUACUGGUUUUGGUGCUGUAUGAGUAAUAAGAGAAAAAGUUAGAGUGAAAGUUACUGGUAUAAUGUAGACAAGCAACUUUGUUAUUGAAAGGCAAUAAACUGCUUUUACAAAUUGCUGAAUACAUGUGCUAAAUAACUAACACGUCCGUAUAUGGUCUGAUAUAUCCCAUAAUUCAUCAUAAAACAGAUCCCUGAAAUAAUACAUAAUGUCCUGUCAAAGAAAAGACAUCAACAUCUGUUUUCUAUCAAUAUUCAGAACAAGGAUAUGUAUCCUGUCAACACAAGUAGACGGCUGUAUUACAGAGACAGUACUGUGGAUUCAAGCAGUUGACAUGAACAUUUGGUGUUACUCUUUAAUGUCAUUUUCCGCACAGUUGAACAUCAACAGGCUAAAGGCAAAGAGAAGAAGGUCAGCUGUCGAAUUAAGCUAAUGAUCCUAGUAUGUCUGAUUUAAAAUGUUAACCCUAACCCUAAAAAUAAAGAAAUACUAAUAAUAACAUGAUUGGCAGGACAACAGCAUUUGUUUGUGCCUUCCAAAACCGUUACGCUACAAAUCCCUGUAAAUAAAUCUGUUUUAAGAUUUAACAACACCAUGGUUAAGGUUUGGUUCAGUUUAAGCAUGAACUUGGUUAGAGUUAGGGGAAGAGCAUGGUUUGGCUUGGAAUGACUACUUCAUUAAGGUUAGGGGACUUUCGUCAUCAUGGUUACAAUAAUAACCACUUGUUCAAGCUCUAAGAACCGCCACUGUCAUUAUAUGAAGAAGCCACCAUUGACUUUUGGCAGGAAAUAGAAAUGUUUUGUUGACCCACUAGGAUAAUAGUCAUUAAUACAAUUGAGGCCUAUAGAGGGAUUUAUCACUUCAAUGUAAAAAGUAUAUUGUUUUUGGGACACCUGUUGUGUUACUGUUGUAUUUCUUAGGAGGACAGUGUCCUUUUUCAGCCUCUUUUCAGUUGGUCAGACAAAAGUAAAAAAUAAUGGAUGAGGUUUAAAUAUGUUCAAGCCCUACUUCAGCAGUUUCUUUUGUCUUCUGGAGCUUUUUACCCCCCCCAUGUAUUUGAUGAUUAAAAUGAGACCAUAAUGCUUUCACCUCCUGUUGUGAAUAGAUAUCGCCUUGUUCACCUUAGCCAACAAAUUGUUUAAAUAUGUGCUGUUUUUGCACCACUUUGCACUCUCCUAGCUCUACCACUACUAGUAGGUCAAUCAGAGGCUUUUCUCAUGGGAUAUUUGGACUUGGUUUGCCUUUUCAUUAAUCACCCCAGUGUUUUUUAUGUCCUUAUAAAAUGCGUCUUUUUUAAAGUUACUAACCAGGUUUUCAAUAACACUGACACUUCUGGAUAGGAAAGAACUUAUCUUGUGCCAGUUGUUGCCUACAGGCAAAUUGUAACAAUAAGGUUAUUGUGCGCAUUACUUGAUUGUUUUGUUAUUUUUGCUCAUUCACACUUUUGAUUUAUUAUCUGCCUGUGUGCUCAUGUGCAUGGCCCACUUUAGUAAAUACCCUGCACAGGUGGGAUUAGUUGCACCUGCAUGUGCAGUUCUGGGGCUAUAGACCUCAUUUGAAAUACACCAUUACUCAUUUGUUUUUAAACGGACAUACCAUAAAAUAUAUACCUGUAUGUUUAUUGCUGUGCUGCACCAUGGUAGUGACAGGUUGCUUCAAAUGUUAUUUUAUGUUACUACAUUUUGAUCUAAUGAUUGUUGAGAAAUUAAAACUCAAGUGGUUGAUGCAAAACACAGUUAAUUUAUUUUUUCAAACAUAUCAAGAAAACCUUUAUAGAGUAGAGUUACUCAGCAUAAGAAAAGGAGAAAGUAUUUUUUUUAUGAAAAAAAAAGAUUUUCUUUAUUUAUGAUUAUCACUUAUUUUUCGCACAUACUUGUACUCGGACGAAUCACUAUUGGUACUUUAGACUUUUUUUCUUGUCCAAUAGAAAUAUUAUUUAUGUUCAUGUUACUAAUUCAUAGCACAUAGGCCCCUGAGCCAGCCAUUAUUUUGUGUCAUUUUAAUGGUGUCGCACUUUGCAACACAUUUUGAAUAAUAUUGUUAUAGAAGUCGAGCCAAUUGGUCAUGAGUAGUUUCUGCAGGUCCUGUCAUUAUUGUAUUAGUGUGGGGUUGGAAGUUCUCUCAGUUAGGGCUGAUCUGUGUUGUGAGUGGGAGGUGGUGGCAGGUUUUUCCAGUUUGAUUUAUAUCCAUCAUUCAACUUUGCUCCCGUAGGGAGGUGAUAUUUUACAAAGCUUUAUUAGUAUUAUUUCAGAUUAGAUUUUAAAGAGCUGAUCAGCCACAGUCUUAGUAUGCCCUAUUAGGUAAAGGAUGAAUUCCCAUCCUACUUCUUAAAAGCACUGCGGAAGAUACAGCAGUGUAAGUUAUCAUGGUGAGAGCAGGGGAGGACAUGUUAGUGUUAAGGAGCAUUCCUUAGUGACAGAUGUAGAGCACAAGCAGCAGCAAACAUCCUCUCUCUCCUCUCUUAUGUCUUUGGUGCAUUGCACUUUAUGAAUUAAAGUUGUGUGUCAGAAAUAUACAUACAGUAGUUGUUCAUAACUUUGCUAUUGGAUUCACUAUUUCAUUUUUUUUACCCAAAAUGUCAAGCAAACAGUGAAACAAUAUGUAUUAAAAUAAUUGGAAACAUGUAAUUUAUUUCCAAUUUUAAUCAGACUUAUCAGUGUUACAUUUUCACUGUUACUGGACAGAGAGUUGCUUUGAUUUGGUUUCUUACAAAUGCAUUUUCAUUUGAAAGAAGAUUGUUAUAUGAAACAUACCUUUAUUGGAAAGACCAUGCCUUCCUUGCUUUAUAAUGUAUCUUAAAGUCUGGAGUUGUUUUAUCAGAAUAGUUUGACAGCAGUUGUUUGGAUGAUUUUGAGUUAUUGCCCAGAGUAAUACAGGACUAUAACUAUAACUACAGGACAUCCACCUGUCGUCUUUUCACCUGCGGUGUCAUACUGAAAACCGGUAGAAGAAAUUGGCAUCUGAGUUCAUUUAUAAAUGAGUGCUGGUGGUCACAUCCUGACACUUUUAGAUAUUCUUUCCACGUUCUGACCUUAAGUAUCAGUUGGGAAUACAUGCUAAGUGGUAGUAUAUCAUAAAUUAAAUGAAUUACAAGAUUUAUUUGGUGUCCGGUGAUCUUUUAGACCUUGUGUGAUCUGUUUCACAUUCACGUUGGAACAUUUUCAGAUCACAGACAUUUUUCCAUCUCCAAUCCAUGUCUCAACAUUUUUUUUCUGAUAUUUGGGUUUCUUAAAAUUCUUGUUUAUUUUGGUCGAUGCCCAUUCACCCAUCAGUUUCUUUCCAUGGAGAACUGUUGCGUAGUCAUGCUUUGGUCAUGCUGUGGCUUUGCGAUGGUGAUGUGUAAACAACAGGCUGAGGUUUGUCUGCCUCCGUGCCUGUGCUCUGUAUGUAUAAGACCAUGCUCUAGUUGUUUUCAACACGUUAUUAUAUUGUACCCUGAAGAAGAUAUUAAAAUCAGCACUUGGCAACUUCUCGACAAGUUAAUUGAAAGCAAUUACGAAUGAGUUUAAACGCCCAAUUGCUUAAACUUUUCGCUAAUUGUAAUUCAUCGUUGAGCCACUUGAAGCCUUUAUUUAUUCUCCCAUUAGUCAAAUGAAUAAGCUGCUAAUUUCUGAAGGACAGCGGCUAGCUAAAGGACAUGUUCGUCUGCAGCAAUAUGUCAGUCAUGAUUAAUUUCAAACAGCUGCAGCAGCAUUCACUGUCAGUAACACAUUUUGAGAAAGCUUUGUAUUUUUAAUUUUUUUUAUUUUGGCAGCACAGAUGUUGCCCUUCCAUUGAGAAUUUUGCUUGUAUGCUGCUGAAUUUUAAUGUUCGUGUCAGUGGUAGUUCAGUUUAAAGGGGACAUAUUAUGCAAAACCAACUUUUUAAUCAUUUGAUUAUGUACAUUUGGGAAUCUGGAGGGCCUAUCAGCAGGCAAAGUGUGAAAAAAAAUUACUCAGUCAUGUUUUUGUGGGCUACCUCAGUCAGAAUACAGGAGAUAAAUCACUCAAUUUCAGAUGUUCAGAGUUUUUGACGUCAUUUCGGCUCCAUGUUGCCACCCACCGCAGUUUACUUCCUGUGUUGACUAGCGGAGCUCCGCCAUUGUUACUAUAAAAGAGCAAGCUAGCAGAGAACAAGCAAGCGAGCCCAGCCUGCCGCCUGCCGCCAGCUGCCUGCCGCCUGCCAGCCUAAUGUCUGGGCAAAGGCUUCAGCAGACAAACUGUUCAGUCAUUGGCUGCACAGCCCAACACUAAUUUACAUAUGUAUGAGCCACUGGAUUUAUUUUUAUUUUUGACGGCAAUGACUGUUCCUGAAAGAGGGAUUCAUACCAACUGUCUGUGGAGAGACGGCAGAGGAAGCAACUGUGACCUGAUGAAGCUCAGGUGUUCCUGGACCCAUCAGAGGACAGAGACAGCUGCAGCAUCAGGACAGUCUGGGUAUCCAAAGGAAGACUCAUCAAGAUGAACACUGACUGCAGAGCUCCAUUACCAGCUCACACUUCAGUAUACUAGAAACCCCCUUGAUGGAGAACAUGAUCUGCACAUUUUACAUAAAAGUUAUAGCUUUGUUACUUGCAACAUGUGUAACUGGAAUAUGAAUGAAACAUAAAUAAAGUGUUUUACUUUUAAGAA